UACGUAGGGUGCGAGCGUUGUCCGGAAUUAUUGGGCGUAAAGGGCUCGUAGGCGGUUUGUCGCGUCGGGAGUGAAAACACCGGGCUUAACUCGGUGCUUGCUUUCGAUACGGGCAGACUAGAGGUAUUCAGGGGAGAACGGAAUUCCUGGUGUAGCGGUGAAAUGCGCAGAUAUCAGGAGGAACACCGGUGGCGAAGGCGGUUCUCUGGGAAUAUCCUGACGGCUGAGGAGCGAAAGUGUGGGGAGGCGAACAGG
rnacentral:rRNA from 1 species